rnacentral:lncRNA from 1 species
AAUCACACCGAUUAAAUAGUACCAAUUUCAAUUCCAAUGUAAGAUGGAAACUGAAUUGGACAGGACCGCACCACCCCUACUGAAAAGAACUGGCAGGGCCACAGCUGCGAGAUGGAGUUUCUAGCUCCAACAAAUAUCCAGUUUGCAUACAUUUUAGUAGUAUAAAUAUUUUUGUUUUUGGGACAUGUGCUACUCUUUCUAAUUGGCUGGGCCUUUACUCGACUGCCCCCAUGCCCUUCAAUCUGACCCAGCCCUCCAAUAUCGACU